UACAGAGGUCUCAAGCGUUGUUCGGAUUCAUUGGGCGUAAAGGGUGCGUAGGCGGCGCGAUAAGUUGGGUGUGAAAUCUCGGAGCUUAACUCCGAAACUGCAUUCGAUACUGCCGUGCUUGAGGACUGGAGAGGAGACUGGAAUUUACGGUGUAGCGGUGAAAUGCGUAGAUAUCGUAAGGAAGACCAGUGGCGAAGGCGGGUCUCUGGACAGUUCCUGACGCUGAGGCACGAAGGUCAGGGGAGCAAACGGG
rnacentral:rRNA from 1 species